GCCUGGCACUGUGGCACAUGUCUGUAGUCCCAGCUAUUCAGGAGGCUGAGGCUGGAGGAUCUCUUGAGUCCAGGAGUUCUGGGCUGUAGUGUGCUAUGCCAAUUGGGUGUCCACACUAAGGUCAGCAUCAAUAUGGUGACCUCCCGGGAGUGGGGGACCACCAGGUUGCCUAAGGAGGGGUGAACCAGCCCAAGUUGGAAAUGGAGCAGGUCAAAACUCCCGUGCUGAUCAGUAGUGGGAUCACGCCUGUGAAUAGCCACUGCACUCCAGCCUGGGCAACAUAGUGAGAUCCUGUCUCU
rnacentral:SRP_RNA from 1 species